rnacentral:rRNA from 1 species
AGUAGAGCGGCGGACGGGUGAGUAACGCGUAGGAAUCUACCUGGUAGUGGGGGACAACUUGGGGAAACCCAAGCUAAUACCGCAUACGCCCUAUGGGGGAAAGUGGGGGACCUUCGGGCCUCACGCUAUCGGAUGAGCCUGCGUAGGAUUAGCUUGUUGGUGAGGUAAAGGCUCACCAAGGCGACGAUCCGUAGCUGGUCUGAGAGGAUGAUCAGCCACACUGGGACUGAGACACGGCCCAG